AUUGAACGCUGGCGGCAGGCCUAACACAUGCAAGUCGAGCGGAUGAAGGGAGCUUGCUCCUGGAUUCAGCGGCGGACGGGUGAGUAAUGCCUAGGAAUCUGCCUGGUAGUGGGGGAUAACGUCCGGAAACGGGCGCUAAUACCGCAUACGUCCUGAGGGAGAAAGUGGGGGAUCUUCGGACCUCACGCUAUCAGAUGAGCCUAGGUCGGAUUAGCUAGUUGGUGGGGUAAAGGCCUACCAAGGCGACGAUCCGUAACUGGUCUGAGAGGAUGAUCAGUCACACUGGAACUGAGACACGGUCCAGACUCCUACGGGAGGCAACAGUGGGGAAUAUUGGACAAUGGGCGAAAGCCUGAUCCAGCCAUGCCGCGUGCGUGAAGAAGGUCUUCGGAUUGUAAAGCACUUUAAGUUGGGAGGAAGGGCAGUAAGUUAAUACCUUGCUGUUUUGACGUUACCAACAGAAUAAGCACCGGCUAACUUCGUG
rnacentral:rRNA from 1 species